ACUCCUACGGGAGGCAGCAGUGGGGAAUAUUGCACAAUGGGCGCAAGCCUGAUGCAGCCAUGCCGCGUGUGUGAAGAAGGCCUUCGGGUUGUAAAGCACUUUCAGUCGUGAGGAAGGUGAGUGUAGUUAAUAGCUUGCUAUUAUUUGACGUUAGCGAACAGAAGAAGCGACCGGCUAACUCCGUGCCAGCAGCCGCGGUAAUACGGAGGGUGCGAGCGUUAAUCGGAAUUACUGGGCGUAAAGCGCAUGCAGGUGGUUUGUUAAGUCAGAUGUGAAAGCCCGGGGCUCAACCUCGGAAUUGCAUUGAAC
rnacentral:rRNA from 1 species